CAACGAACGAAAGGAGGUGAUCCAGUGUCUCAUUGUCUUACGCAGCGGUCGUGCGCGCUGGUGACCUGGACACUCGCCUCUGGUGAGGUCCGCGCCGCGUAAUGCGACGCUGUUGCGGUCGUAUACCGACCGCGGUUUGGCAAUGGAGGGGCUGCCUGCGAGGGCAGCUCC
rnacentral:sRNA from 1 species